AUGCAGAAUUCAGUGAAUCAUCGAAUCUUUGAACGCACCUUGGCGCUCCUUGGUAUUCCGAGGAGCAUGCCUGUUUGAGUGUCAUU
rnacentral:rRNA from 1 species